UGAAUGUGAAACACACACAGGAUUUCAAAGCCUUAGUUAGCAUAAAAGAGGACGGCAUAGCUCCCCACCAUUUCAACAACGGAGCUGCCCUCUGAAGGGACUGACGCGUACCAUCUCACAAGGAAGCGACACCCCCAAUGCCUUCGGGAAGUAGCUGGAUGGAGGAGGAACAGUGGAGGAAAUAUGCAGUUCACCAAAGACCCUCAUCCAAUUGUUCAGGGGCUUCUAUGCCAGCCAGACACAAUCGACAGGAGGCCGAGGGCCAGGAGCCUGGGUUCGAAUCCCAGCCACACCACCAGCUGUGGGACCGACGUCGAAUCAUCCCAGCCAACCUUCCUCUGUAAAAUAUGCAGCACAGGACCCACCACCAAGAAACCAAACACCCAUAGGUGCGUCUAACCAUGGCGGAUGCUCCACAGAUGUGACAGCCGCCAUGGGACGGGUCUCAGUG